rnacentral:rRNA from 1 species
GAAUAUUGCACAAUGGAGGAAACUCUGAUGCAGCGACGCCGCGUGAGCGAUGAAGGCCUUCGGGUUGUAAAGCUCUGUGAUAUGGGAAGAUAAUGACGGUACCAUAUCAGAAAGGACCGGCUAACUUCGUGCCAGCAGCCGCGGUAAUACGAGGGGUCCAAGCGUUGUUCGGAAUUACUGGGCGUAAAGCGGGUGUAGGUGGCCAUGAAAGUCGGAUGUGAAAGCCCAGGGCUCAACCCUGGAAGUGCAUCCGAUACUUCAUGGCUUGAGUACUAGAGAGGGAAGUGGAAUUCCUGGUGUAGCGGUGAAAUGCGUAGAUAUCAGGAGGAACAUCGGUGGCGAAGGCGGCUUCCUGGCUAUGUACUGACACUCAGACCCGAAAGCGUGGGUAGCAAACAGG